GUCAAGAGUAACGAAUGGACUAGACUGCGGGCCGCCCUGCCAUUCGUGCUUCCGGAUUAUCCCGACACGGUUUCAUGGCGGCCCACGCCGACGGCGGAGUUCUCAAUGUGCACGGCACACCAUGCUCUUUGCCCACCUACAACUACUCCCUGGCUUUCCCCUCUAUGGAAAGCCCUCGUCCCUUUAAAGACUAAGAUUUUUGUUUGGCAACUUCUACGGGAUGGUCUCCCCUCGGGGAUAGAGGUACUUAAGCGGCGCGGGCCUGGUGAUGGUAUAUGCCCUCUCUGCGCGGUACCUGAGACCGGGACCCAUAUUCUCUUCUGGUGUACGGCAGCAAGGGUAUUAUGGACAUACGUCCGCGAGGCAUUGAGGCCUGACUGGGAGGCCCUAAAUCCCGCGGAGUUUCUCCAGCUUAGAGCUUUACAGCCGUCACCGCAUCGCCGCCUAUUUUUGCGGCGAUGUCGUGGACUCUUUGAACGACUAGGAAUAACAUGGUGA
rnacentral:rRNA from 1 species